rnacentral:rRNA from 1 species
UACGGAGGGUGCAAGCGUUGCUCGGAAUUAUUGGGCGUAAAGGGUAGGUAGGUGGUCUCAUUUGUCUGGGGUGAAAGCCUUGAGCUUAACUCGAGAAGUGCCCCAGAAACGGUGAGACUAGAGUCCUGGAGAGGGUCGUGGAAUUCCCGGUGUAGCGGUGAAAUGCGCAGAUAUCGGGAGGAACACCGGUGGCGAAGGCGGUUCUCUGGGCCUGUACUGACGCUGAGGAGCGAAAGCGUGGGGAGCGAACAGG